GAUGAACGCUGGCGGCGUGCCUAAUACAUGCAAGUCGAGCGAACAGACGAGGAGCUUGCUCCUCUGACGUUAGCGGCGGACGGGUGAGUAACACGUGGAUAACCUACCUAUAAGACUGGGAUAACUUCGGGAAACCGGAGCUAAUACUGGAUAAUAUAUUGAACCGCAUGGUUCAAUAGUGAAAGACGGUUUUGCUGUCACUUAUAGAUGGAUCCGCGCCGCAUUAGCUAGUUGGUAAGGUAACGGCUUACCAAGGCAACGAUGCGUAGCCGACCUGAGAGGGUGAUCGGCCACACUGGAACUGAGACACGGUCAAGACUCCUACGGGAGGCAGCAGUAGGGAAUCUUCCGCAAUGGGCGAAAGCCUGACGGAGCAACGCCGCGUGAGUGAUGAAGGUCUUCGGAUCGUAAAACUCUGUUAUUAGGGAAGAACAAAUGUGUAAGUAACUAUGCACGUCUUGACGGUACCUAAUCAGAAAGCCACGGCUAACUACGUG
rnacentral:rRNA from 1 species